rnacentral:SRP_RNA from 1 species
GCCAGGUGCGGUGGUGUGUGCCUGUAGUCGCAGCUAUUGGGAGACUGAGGCUGGAGGAUCUCUUGAGUCCCGGAGUUCUGGGCUAUAGUGCGCUAUGCCGAUCGGGUAUCCGCACUAAGUUUGGCAUCAAUAUGGUGACCUUCUGGGAGUGGGGGACCACCAGAUUGCCUAAGGAGGGGUGAACCGGCCCAGGUCGGAAAUGGAGCAGGUCAAAACUCCUAUGCUGAUCAGUAGUGGGAUCACGCCUGUGAAUAGCCACUGCACUCCAGCCUGGGAAACGUAGCGAGACCCCAUCUCU